GCUUCACCCAUUCAUGUGAAGAUGCAUACUUCAACCCAUCAAUUACAGUUGAAAAACAUCUGGAGAUAGAAAAGGAAGGGGCAAUUAUAUUGUUAGUUGUGGAGAUUCUUAGUGCGUUGGCUGUUGAAGAAGCCCACAUCCUGAGAGCCAUAAUUUUUUCUAUCUUCACAAAUGAAGAAUUGAAGAAGAAGAAAGAAAGAAAUAUUAUAGUAGUUGCUUUAUCUUGGAUGAACGGUGGAAAAU
rnacentral:misc_RNA from 1 species